rnacentral:tRNA from 1 species
GGGAUUGUGGCUCAAUGGUAGAGUGCUUGCCUCACAUGUGUGAGGCACUGGGUUCAAUUCUCAGCAUCACA